rnacentral:rRNA from 1 species
GAUGAACGCUGGCGGCGUGCCUAAUACAUGCAAGUCGAACGAGAGUACUUGUACUCUAGUGGCGAACGGGUGAGUAACACGUAGGUAACCUGCCCCAAUGACGAGGAUAACAGUUGGAAACGAUUGCUAAUACUCGAUAGGUAAUAAUAAGGCAUCUUGUUAUUAUUAAAGAUCCGAAUGGAUUACAUUGGGAAGGGCCUGCGCUGCAUUAGUUAGUUGGUGAGGUAAGAG